UGGUUCCACCUCCAUCACUCUUCCUCCAUCACUCUCUCCUGCUGUUCUCUCUGUGUUGUCAUGUGUUGGAUCAGUCUGUGUUGUGGUUCUACUGGUGUUACUGGUUCUGCUGGUGAGACGAUGUGAUCACAGGAAACCUGAAGCUGAACAUGAGGCAAACAUGGGAAAUGACAUCAACACUGACAUCACAUACAUCCAAAUAUCACAUCGCCAGCAGCCAGUCACACAAAACAAAGACUUUAAAUCAGAUCCAGAUGUCAUCUACUCUUCAUUGAAGUAGUCCACCAGUCCAACCACUGAAAUCCAGCUGCUGGUCUCUAACUGGUCCCCCCAGCACCUCAGACCAGAGGACAUCCACACGUCAGACAUAUUUUUAUGUCUUUUUCCUAGUUAAUAAGACUCAUGCUUCUGAGUUAAAAAAAAAUAGCCUUUUAGUGCAAAAUCAACAAUAUAAACUUAUAAUCAACAAUAUAGAUAUAUAU